rfam:Myotis davidii contig5637, whole genome shotgun sequence.
GCCAGUGUACUCAGUGGUUAGAGCACCAGUCUGAGCACCGGAGGGUCAUGGGUUCAAUUCCCAGUCAAGGGCA